CCUGCACUAGAGGCAUUGCAGGUGUAGCUCCUGUGUCACAUAUGUAUCACUAGGUGGCAGAGAUGGGAGAGGCUAUGUCUAUGUUCAGUGUCCUUACCUACGAACAUCUGAAUUAUUAGUAGCCUAACAUU